rnacentral:rRNA from 1 species
ACGCACGCUGGCGGCAUGCCUAACACAUGCAAGUCGAACGAGACCUUCGGGUCUAGUGGCGCACGGGUGCGUCACGCGUGGGAACCUGCCCUUAGGUUCGGAAUAACUCCCCGAAAGGGGUGCUAAUACCGGAUAAUGUCUUCGGACCAAAGAUUUAUCGCCUUUGGAUGGGCCCGCGUUGGAUUAGCUAGUUGGUAGGGUAAAAGCCUACCAAGGCGACGAUCCAUAGCUGGUCUGAGAGGAUGAUCAGCCACACUGGGACUGAGACACGGCCCAGACUCCUACGGGAGGCAGCAGUGGGGAAUAUUGGACAAUGGGCGAAAGCCUGAUCCAGCAAUGCCGCGUGAGUGAUGAAGGCCUUAGGGUUGUAAAGCUCUUUUACCCGGGAUGAUAAUGACAGUACCGGGAGAAUAAGCUCCGGCUAACUCCGUG